rnacentral:misc_RNA from 1 species
GCUAUCCUCUAUGGCCAUGCAUCCCCCUUGACCCAAAUUAGGCUGCAUGGCAUGGACGGAGUCCCCAAGCAAUGUAACACGACCUCUUCCCCAACUAAAGGUUGGCGGUCUAUCAUAGAUGUCACGACGAAGAAUUGCAUCUUCAUCUGUGGCAACUAAUAGGUCUAUAACAUUGUCACACCAUCCCCCAAAUAUUUUAAGCAAUCUUUCCUUUUUACCGUUUGGGGCAUCCGCACCACCAGCUGGUUCAUUGUAAAAUGCAUACCACUGCAUCUUGCCUCCCCCCACAUCUGAAGAAACAAAGUACUGUUUGUGGCCCAAAAAGACGCGGUACCCA